rnacentral:rRNA from 1 species
UAGGGAAUCUUCGGCAAUGGGGGGAACCCUGACCGAGCAACGCCGCGUGAGUGAAGAAGGUUUUCGGAUCGUAAAGCUCUGUUGUUAAGGAAGAACGAGUGUGAGAAUGGAAAGUUCAUGCUGUGACGGUACUUAACCAGAAAGGGACGGCUAACUACGUGCCAGCAGCCGCGGUAAUACGUAGGUGGCAAGCGUUAUCCGGAAUUAUUGGGCGUAAAGCGCGCGUAGGCGGUUUUUUAAGUCUGAUGUGAAAGCCCACGGCUCAACCGUGGAGGGUCAUUGGAAACUGGAAAACUUGAGUGCAGAAGAGGAAAGUGGAAUUCCAUGUGUAGCGGUGAAAUGCGCAGAGAUAUGGAGGAACACCAGUGGCGAAGGCGACUUUCUGGUCUGUAACUGACGCUGAUGUGCGAAAGCGUGGGUAGCAAACAGG